rnacentral:rRNA from 1 species
AUGGACGAAAUGGCCGUGAAGUUAAAAGAUGCUACCGAUCGCAAUGAGGCUCUUGAGAAGGAGCGCCUAGCGGGGCAAGAAGACCUGGAGAAGGCCACCGCCGAAGCCAAGGAUGCCCGCUCUGCAAUGCGGGCUAUAAAGGAAGAGCUGCGCCAGGCCGGAGAAAUUGUAGCUGGCAAGCCUUUCCUGCUGCACCGAAGGUUUACGGAUCCAAAGUAUGCUCAGCUGGGCCAACUGUGGGGUCCAGAGGACCCUUACAUGGACUUAGCAGCGAGUGCGGCGGAUGUCAUUGUGCAUUUUCGAAGCCAGAAGGAUCACGAGACGGAAGAGCUGUUUUGGUCUCAAUUCCAUAGUCCGGAGCGUUCACUUCCGCUGACCGACCGUUUGGCCGAGUGGGCUGAGCUGAAUAGGUUGUCCGGGCUUGCUAUGACGGAUAUAGUGACCCAUGUCUGGCCGGAUAGGCCCAAGCCAAAGAGUUACUUUGGCUUAUUGCAGCAAUUUCUUGGGGCGGUGCCGCAUAUCAAGGCGAUGAAGCAGUCGGCCUGCAUAGAGGGUGCGCGGAUGACACUUGCCCGUGUGAAGACACAUUGGACAGAGAUGGAUGCCACUGUUGUUGCGACCCCGGGUUCGGACGAUAGCCGGUUACCCACCGAGCAAUAUUUUGGCGAAGUGUUGCGUGGUGCUCGUGUAAUAGAGUCGCAGUGCUCAAAAAAUGUUAGUUCGAAUGAACGUUUUUACGAUGUAAAACAAUAUUUAUGA